rnacentral:piRNA from 1 species
UGCUGUUUUACAGGGACUAUUAAUUGUUGG